rnacentral:tRNA from 1 species
UCCCUGGUGGCUCAAAUAGUAAAGCGUCUGCCUGCAAUGCGGGAGACUCAGGUUCGAUCCCUGGGUUGGGAA